AUCCUCAACGACAAAUAUGAGACGCUUCUGAAGGAGAGAGAGAAGCUGAUAUGUGAGCGCGACACACUGAGAGAGACGACUGAACACCUGAGAUGUGUUCAGGUCCAGCAGCAGUGCUUAACAGCUUCAGGAGCCGUCGGCAGAAAUCAUGCCACCAGAGCUCAGGGAUACGGUUGUGCGUCUGCAGCAGGAGAAUAAGAUGCUGUGUGUUCAGGAGGAGUCAGACAGACACAGACUGGAGGAGCUCCAGACGCUGCUGGAGGAGCCGCAGCGCUACCAGAACACACUCGAGACCCAGAACCGGUGUGUGUGAGAGAGUGAGAGUGUGUGUGUUUGUGUGUGUGUGAGAGAGAGUGUGUG